rnacentral:tRNA from 1 species
GCCGGGGUGCUGGAAUUGGUAGACAGGCUACGUUGAGGACGUAGUGCAGGUAACUGCGUGCAGGUUCAAGUCCUGUCCUCGGCA